AGCAGCCGCGGUAAUUCCAGCUCCAAUAGCGUAUAUUAAAGUUGUUGCAGUUAAAAAGCUCGUAGUUGAAUUUCGGGAUCAAUACGUCGGUCGUGCUUUCGGGUACGUACUGGCGUCAUUGGUUUCUCCUUUCUGACGAACCAUGAUGUCAUUAAUUUGGUGUUAUGGGGAGUUAGGACUGUUACUUUGAAAAAAUUAGAGUGUUUAAAGCAGGCAUUAGCUUGAAUACAUUAGCAUGGAAUAAUGAAAUAGGACGUUCGAUCCUAUUUUGUUGGUUUCUAGGAUCAACGUAAUGAUUAAUAGGGAUAGUUGGGGCAUUAGUAUUCAAUUGUCAGAGGUGAAAUUCUUGGAUUUAUUGAAG
rnacentral:rRNA from 1 species